AUACGUAGGGGGCGAGCGUUGUCCGGAAUGACUGGGCGUAAAGGGCGUGUAGGCGGCCGAUUAAGUCUGGAGUGAAAGUCCUGCUUUCAAGGUGGGAAUUGCUUUGGAGACUGGUUGGCUUGAGUGCGGAAGAGGUAAGUGGAAUUCCCAGUGUAGCGGUGAAAUGCGUAGAGAUUGGGAGGAACACCAGUGGCGAAGGCGACUUACUGGGCCGUAACUGACGCUGAGGCGCGAAAGCGUGGGGAGCGAACAGGAUUAGAUACCCUGGUAGUCCACGCGGUAAACGAUGAAUGCUAGGUGUAGGGGGUAUCGACCCCUCCUGUGCCGGAGUGAACACAAUAAGCAUUCCGCCUGGGGAGUACGGCCGCAAGGUUGAAACUCAAAGGAAUUGACGGGG
rnacentral:rRNA from 1 species